GCAGUGCACGGUUGUGAACAGCAGCCAACAGCAGGCCGUGUGGGAGGACCAGUGGGCUUUAGCUCCUGCAAGAUGACUGGCAGGUGUCUGAUCCAAUACCACAAGAGGAAAGUCAAAGUCAAGUCAUUAGAGCAUAGAUUAGAAUGUGCCAGAGCUGGUCAGGAGUGGAGAGAGGAUCAAUGGUGGAGCUCAGUCAGCCAUGGCCGCAGACUGUCAGACACCGACCUUUCAGACACUCCACGGAUGGAUUGGUGUAUCAGUAGUAUAAAUAGAAGCAAAUGCUCAAUUAACAGCGGUGACGCAGGACCACAGUCUGUGAGUCUAAAUGUAUCCACAUGGAGAAGUACAUUUAUCACAGCUGCUAAUGAAACACACAGAGAAAAAAAAGAAUUACUGCUGUGAGAAAAGACAGAUUGAUUUCUAUAUAUCAGCAGCAUGUUGCAUUUAUCUUGUGUCUUCAGAACUAUUGAACAGAGCAGCACUUAUCAAUACUUCUAUACUAAUAAUGAACCAAGUGUGUAAUGUGAAAGGCUUUGCUCAUAGUGACAAACCCACAAAGAAAGCUCUAAUACAUCCAGAAUACUCUACAUUCGCAGCACAAAACUGCUAACAAAGUUAGCGGCUAGCUGGUCAGAGUCAUAUAUUUUUCUUAGGAGUUGGUGGAGACCAAAACAGAGCAAAAAGGAGAGUGAAUAUUGGACUUACAUUCAACAGGUGGCCAGACACACAAGUCAAAAUGAAUGAUAAUGUUGCUUUAUGUCUGUUGGAUGCCUAAACAAGCAACUUUGCUAACAUUUUAGCCAUAACAACUAGCUUACAGCUUGUUUUGCUGCCUCCAAGUGACCAAAAAAGCCAUCACUGCUUUAGAGGAACACUGAUAACAUUGUACUCACCA